UACAGAGGUCCCAAGCGUUGUUCGGAUUCACUGGGCGUAAAGGGUGCGCAGGUGGUUUGGCAAGUUUGACGUGAAAGCCCCGGGCUUAACCCGGGAACGGCGUUGAAAACUGCUUGAACUGGAGGGUCGGAGGGGGGACUGGAAUUCUUGGUGUAGCAGUGAAAUGCGUAGAUAUCAAGAGGAACACCAGUGGCGAAGGCGAGUCCCUGGACGAUACCUGACACUGAGGCACGAAAGCCAAGGGAGCAAACAGG
rnacentral:rRNA from 1 species